ACUGUAUAUAUUUGAUCAACAGAGAGAGAGAAAUACAAUGUUUUAUGUUAGUAUAGGACUGUAUAUGUUAGAUCAACAGAGACUGAGAAAUACAAUGUUUUAUGUUAGGACUGUAUAUGUUAGAUCAACAGAGAGAGAGAAAUACAAUGUUUUAUGUUAGUAUAGGACUGUAUAUGUUUGAUCAACAGAGAGAGAGAAAUACAAUGUUUUAUGUUAGGGCUGUAUAUGUUAGAUCAACAGAGACUGAGAAAUACAAUGUUUUAUGUUAGUAUAGGAGUGUAUAUGUUAGAUCAACAGAGAGAGAGAGAGAAAUACAAUGUUUUAUGUUAGGACUGUAUAUGUUUGAUCAACAGAGACUGAGAAAUACAAUGUUUUAUGUUAGGGCUGUAUAUGUUAGAUCAACAGAGAGAGAAAUACAAUGUUUUAUGUUAGUAUAGGACUGUAUAUGUUAGAUCAACAGAGAGAGAGAGAGAAAUACAAUGUUUUAUGUUAGUAUAGGACUGUAUAUGUUUGAUCAACAGAGAGAGAGAAAUACAAUGUUUUAUGUUAGGACUGUAUAUGUCUGAUCAACAGAGAGAGAGAAAUACAAUGUUUUAUAUUAGUAUAGGACUGUAUAUGUUUGAUCAACAGAGAGAGAGAGAAAUACAAUGUUUUAUGUUAGUAUAGGACUGUAUAUGUUAGAUCAACAGAGAGAGAGAGAAAUACAAUGUUUUAUGUUAGUAUAGGACUGUAUAUGUUAGAUCAACAGAGACUGAGAAAUACAAUGUUUUAUGUUAGUAUAGGACUGUAUAUGUUUGAUCAACAGAGAGAGAGAAAUACAAUGUUUUAUGUUAGGACUGUAUAUGUUUGAUCAACAGAGAGAGAGAAAUACAAUGUUUUAUGUUAUCAGGACUGUAUAUGUUAGAUCAACAGAGAGAGAGAAAUACAAUGUUUUAUGUUAGUAUAGGACUGUAUAUGUUUGAUCAACAGAGAGAGAGAAAUACAAUGCUUUAUGUUAGUAUAGGAGUGUAUAUGUCUGAUCAACAGAGAGAGAGAAAUACAAUGUUUUAUGUUAGGACUGUAUAUGUUUGAUCAACAGAGAGAGAGAAAUCCAUGAGAACCCGACAUGGUGUUAUCCCUAGAGGAUUCCGUGAUAUAUAUGGUAUCUGAAAAAAAUAUUGUUACUUUUAAAAAAUCCAAUAGCACACUUACUGCAACCAUUUUCUUAGAUAUAAACUGGAGGCAUUUGUAUUUGAUGUGAUUAACUAAUUUUAAAUUAUUUAUAGUGGGUCUUUUCCACUCGGAUUACAGUACAGAAAAUCGCCUUUCCUUUAGAUAUAUAGUAUUUGCAUAUAUAUAUCGAUAUGCAGGGAAUAGUUUGACUUUAGCUAAGUUACAUGUGUAUCUAUGUAUUAAAAAGAAAUACAAUUACAAAAUGGGCCUCUUAACAAACAGGUUUAUAUAUAAACUUGGUGAAAAUGAAUUUGAUGUGUAACAUAUGAGAUAUUUGUUUAACCGUGUAAAAACAAAUUAAUAUAUAUGGUUUAAGAAAAUCCUACUGUGACCAUAGAAAUUGUAUUUAAUGGUCAUUUAUUUUGGCAAAAUCACAUUAUUCUAAUAUUUCUGAUAUUUCCGGAUAGUCAUGUAACACUAAUGGUUAACUGAUGAAUAGAAAUGACUUGUCAGUUAGUGCUGAGUAUGAAACUGGGGCAGUAUACACAACUGAAGUGGGCAAUAAUGGUCCCUGUGGCCUCAGGUAUUCCAGGGUUCAUCCAUAACUACAUUUGUGAUUCAGUAGAAUAGAUAUUCAUGAGAUAAUUACUGUAAACAAAACUGUUGUUCUAUUCCAUGGUAAGAAACACAUCUAUAGUCCUUCAUUCCCGUUGUGUUUAUCUUAAACAGCAUUAUCAUGUUCAAACAUGUAUAUGUUAUGCAUGAGAGAUGAUGUUACAGUGUAUUUCUGCACCAGAUUUUAUUAGCUAAGAAUUAAUUUAAACAUGUCCUACUUACACUUAAGCCCCAGGAUAGACCAUCUUUACUCCUCUAGAAUUGUCUCGGUGACUCGUAGCAUAUCUUGCAGGCAUAGCUUGUUGAGUGAGAUCUAAAUUAUACAACUAAUUAUGUCAAAUUUAAUCAGUUUAUAAUAUUAAUGCAUAUGGACAGCUCACACAUUAUCUUUUAAGGGAAGAGGGUAUUUCAGUUUUGGGAAUUUUGGUAGUUUCUUGAAUUUUUGGUUAUAUAUUUUUUCCCUUUUUUUAAGUUUUUCUUUUCUUUUUUUUUUAGUGCCACCAUCAUCAGAUUGAUAACUGUUAAAAUCACCUGUCAUCUGUGGUCCGACUUUGAUCCAUUCAUGUGUCAAUCAUCAAUCCUUGCCAUCGCUAUUUCUCAGAAAUCUCUUCAUGCAUCUUUCUAAAUUUCAUCUGUAGGUUUCCCUUUGUUCCUUAUUAUGAAAAAGUUUUGUUCAAAUUGAUUGAAAAACAAGAUGGCCGACAGACAAUCAUUUUGAAUUUUGAUAUUUGAUUUUGUUAUUGCUAUUUCUCAUUAAGUUUUUUGAGGAACUCUGUCAAAUUUCAUUUUGGGAGAUCAUUCAUUAGUGGGCAACAAGAUCCCUCUGGGAUCUCUUGUUUUGUUACCUGAUAUAUAUAUGUUUUCAUUCACCUUUUUCGGUUUGUAAACAUAUUUUUAUGACAAAUAUUUAUUUUUUGGUUACCUGAGACGAAGUAUUAGUUCACCAAUUGUGAUUGCCUUUUUUCCGGUGUUGUGCGUUGUAAAGAAUCGCAUUUUCAACUUCUUCUCAAUUAAUGUACCAACUGGCUCAGAGACCUAAUAUUGGGUCUGUAGCAAGCUGGGAUGAAGAACCACCAAGUUUGUUCAAAUGGAUGACCUUGACCUUCAUUCAUAAAAAGGUUAUACCUAAAUUAACACAAUGAUUUGAGUUACUUUGUUGGUGUAAACUGCUCAAAAUAUCUAAUGCUAAAUAGGAUUUGAGUUAUUUUAAUGAUUCACAGUGAAAUGUUUUCUUACCAUGUACAUCAUACUGUCACAUAAGGUACAGCUGUGUUUCCAGCUGUCAACACUUAUCUCAUGUCAAUUAUGAAUUGUUGCCAAUCAAAAUAUUGACUGUCAGACAGUUGAUCAAUUCAUGUUUUCCCAAUCCCACCGAACAGGUUUGAAAGAUUUAUUUAAAUAUGAUCAUUUUUUAUGAUUAAUUAGUGAAUCGUGUUGAAAGGAUAUUGUUUUAUUCCAGUGUAUAUUUUUUUUGUAUUCCUAAAAAGCAUUUUUUAGAAGAACAUUUACAGAUUUCAGAAUGAAAACACACACACGAAAUAAAAAAAGUUUUUAUACUGUUGAAGAAAGAUUAUGAGUAUGAUUUCUUGGCAGAAUGUAGGAAUUUUGUUAAUUGUACAUAAAAUGUAUUCCAAGACUUAAAUGAACAGAAAAGUUAACCAAUUUUAUUGAGAUGGGUUGACUACAUUUUUAGAUCAUAUCUGACAUGAAGGGUUUGGAUGACCUAUAUAGCCAUCAUGAUUUGUCCAUCAUUCGCCAUGUGCUGUGUGCCGUCCAUAAAUGUUUUCUUUGAGACGCUACUCCUCCUUAAAACCCCUGAGUGGUAGAUUUCAACCAAAUUUGGUCAGAAACAUCAUUUUGGGAAGACAAACAUUUCUGAAAUGAACGAAGCUGGUUUUAAUCCCUUUUUGAUAGACUGGAUUAAAACCAAAUUUGAUCUGAAAUAUCAUUGGGUAAGGGCAGUCCUUUCUUAACAAGAACAUUUUCUUUAAAAUGGUACUCUUCCCUUUUCCAUGAGCGGAUCGAUUAUAGCCAAACUUGUUCUGAAACAGCAGGAAAGACAAUCAUUUGUAAAAAAUAAUGGAAUGACCUUUGAGGACAGACUUGGGAAUUUAGCUCAUAUGGCUUUGAAUGCUUUUUGAUGACUAUUUAACUUACUGAGAGGUAGUGAUCCACAACCGACCAAAACUACCAUCAUUCUUUGUGAGAUUUUACUGAAAAUGUUAUUUAAAGAGAGCCUAUACUUGUAAAAUAUUUUGAUCGAGAGGACAUUAAAGGUGAUUGAUUAAAACAUAAGGCAUUGUGUACAUUUAUAUUUGUUUUGAAAAAACUCAGAAUUUUUUAUAUAAGGUGGUCUGAAAGUAUUUUGAAUUUUGAACAUUUCAUAUUUGUCAAUUUUGUUUCAUGCCUUUUAAAAUGUAAAGACCAAGAGCAUUUCCAGUACUAUGAAAUAACAGUUCUGUGGACAGUCAACUGUAAAAGAACGUUUUUUUUGACUUUUGACAUUUUUAUUCAGAUUUUCCACAUAAAGUAAUCACAUGAUACAGGAAGAAACAAAGACAACUUAGUGCCUUAAAAUUUAAUUAUCUAAGUUUAGCUGAAACACAAUCCAUAUUUCACCCAGUUAACAUGUUCACAAAAUUGAAAAGUUUAACUGAAUGUCAUCUAUAUUUCAUCUUCUUCAAAUUUCAUUAAUACACUAUGUAUAUAUACAAUCAUUAGAGGUCUAGGAGUGAUGUUGCAGCAAAGUUAUGGCGAAAAAUUAUUUUUUAUUUAUCUUUUUUUUUUUUGCAUCAAAUUAAAUUUUAAAUUCAUUCUUUCAUAAGUAUACAUAACACAUUAUUGCUAUUCAAAAUGAUAAAGAUACCCUGGAAUGUUGAAAAUGUUAGGAAUCUUUAAAGUUUUCCUAUUUUGGAUUAACUAUUGAACCUCAAAAUGAAAUUUAUUGUUGUGUAAUUACUGGUUUCAAUUUCAAAUAUGUAUCAUUAGUUUUUCAUAAAAACUUAUGAACACAAUAAGUCUUGAUUGCCCAACUCCAGUAGAAAUUGUUAAAAAUCUUAGAAAUUGUACCAAAAAUGUAGAAUCUAUUGUUUAAAAUGCAUUUCAUUGUCGUUGUAGUCCUACCUUUGUAUUACUCUGGAAUGAGUAUAACCUUAAAGCCACUAAACAGAUCCAAACUUCUCUGUUGUUACUGACUCGGGCAUUCAUCCUGGUUCUAGCUGUUCAUGAUUGGUACACUGGUGAAAGUGAAAUCUGGGAAAUAUGUUAACAAAUAGUAAUAGAAGUCCCUCGUUCCAUUGUUUUUGUGUAUAUGUCUUAAAUUAUAAUUGUGCUUCAUUAAUAUUUUCGUUUUGCUAGUACAUGUAUGUAUAUUUGCAUGUCUCUAUUUCAAUUAAAAAUUGUUGAAAUUAUA